UACGUAGGGUGCAAGCGUUAAUCGGAAUUACUGGGCGUAAAGCGUGCGCAGGCGGCUUUGCAAGACAGAUGUGAAAUCCCCGGGCUUAACCUGGGAACUGCAUUUGUGACUGCAUGGCUGGAGUGCGGCAGAGGGGGAUGGAAUUCCGCGUGUAGCAGUGAAAUGCGUAGAUAUGCGGAGGAACACCGAUGGCGUAGGCAAUCCCCUGGGCCUGCACUGACGCUCAUGCACGAAAGCGUGGGGAGCAAACAGG
rnacentral:rRNA from 1 species